rnacentral:rRNA from 1 species
UACGUAGGUGGCAAGCGUUGUCCGGAAUUAUUGGGCGUAAAGCGCGCGCAGGCGGUUCCUUAAGUCUGAUGUGAAAGCCCCCGGCUCAACCGGGGAGGGUCAUUGGAAACUGGGGAACUUGAGUGCAGAAGAGAAGAGCGGAAUUCCACGUGUAGCGGUGAAAUGCGUAGAGAUGUGGAGGAACACCAGUGGCGAAGGCGGCUCUUUGGUCUGUAACUGACGCUGAGGCGCGAAAGCGUGGGGAGCAAACAGG